rnacentral:lncRNA from 1 species
ACAAAUAAAAAAGAACAGAGGGCGUGACCAGGAGGUCGCCCCUGUGCGAUGCGAGGAGACAGAGGAAUGGGGAGGUCAAAUUCAUGAUGGAAAUCACGAGAUUAGGAGGCUAAGGUCUCAAUACUAUCAUCCUUGCUCGAUUUCUAGGGCUUUGGAAUGGCAUGGAUUGUAAGACAAUAGGUCAAAACAAAUGAAAUGGAUGACAACACUCCUACGGGCAAAGGUGAUAUGUUUAAAAACAAUGAACGAAUAGAUAAGUCAUGAGAAACAACGGGGUGGCUUGAACCGAUAACAUGGAAGAAGAAAAGAACUCAAAAGUCAUUCACCAAUAAUCCGAUUCGGGUGGUAUAAAAGUCUUGGAAGCGGGGCAAUUAUGGAAAGAUUUAGUGAUGAUUUGUUCACUAAGUAUAUGGGUUUCUUAUCGGGUCAAAUUGACCUAGUUAUUUACAUUUUGGAGUUUAACUUCAAUGUUUUAUCUAAGCGCUAGUAUGUCAAUGUAGUAGUUGGUUAUGUUUGUUUUAUAAAAACUUUGGUUAUUGAGCAGGUUUUGUCUUCGUAAGGAAUGGUCGUUUUGCAAACUGGUCAUAG